UGGGUUAGUGGCGGACGGGUGAGUAACGCGUGGAUAACCUGCCGUAUACACGGGGGAUAACACUUAGAAAUAGGUGCUAAUACCGCAUAAGCGCACGGUUCCGCAUGGAACAGUGUGAAAAACUCCGGUGGUAUACGAUGGAUCCGCGUCUGAUUAGCCAGUUGGCGGGGUAACGGCCCACCAAAGCGACGAUCAGUAGCCGGCCUGAGAGGGUGAACGGCCACAUUGGGACUGAGACACGGCCCAAACUCCUACGGGAGGCAGCAG
rnacentral:rRNA from 1 species